GACGCUAUCGUCUAGCCCGGUCCAGGACACCAGAUUCUCAUUCUGGGAACUCCGGUUCAAAUCCGGAUAGCGUCA
rnacentral:tRNA from 1 species